GGGCAGAGGUGUAGUAGCUCCUCCCCAGGAAUCCUCCUAAGGCAAUAACAUAUUAGUAGAAGAGAAAAAUAUGCCUAAACACACUUUUGCACUCAGCGUCAUCCUUUUAAUCCUUCUAUUCAAUGCAUCUGCAGGCCAAACCAUUGCAGUUGAAAAUGAUAAUGCUGCUACUGCAAAGCUGAUAAAGGGCCGUAGCAGAAAGAUUCUUACAGAGGUUCAGGAUUAUGAUUACGGAGGAGCAAACUCUAGGCAUGAUCCUCGCAGAAGGUCUGGGAUUGGGGGCAGGAAUGGCUAGACCACUAUCUGCAUAUGGUCAUGUGAAGAUGCUACUACAUGAAUGGGGUUAUAUGAGGGAGAGUAGUCUCUUACUGCAGCUAACCUGCUACAUGAAUAUUUGAACCCCUGUUGUGUGUUCCAAUUGGAUCAAUGAGCCAUAUAGAUACUCUUAUCUGAUAAACAGUCUAGCGGGAUGAAGUUGAGACUAGCUCAUAUUAAAUGGCACCUAUAUGUACUUUUUUGAGAUACCCAACUAUGUGUGCUGCUAAAGCAUACGUGAGGCAGUGGACCAUCUACGAGCCAUUUUAUGAGGUGAUAAGUGUAGCACUGUA